ensembl:snRNA U4 U4 spliceosomal RNA
AGCUUUGCGCAGUGGCAGUAUCGUAGUCUAUGAGGUCCAUCCGAGACGCGAUUAUUGCUAGUUGAAAACUUUACCCUCGCGGCGCUCGCACGCCCCUACCUGGAAUUUUCCUGUCUAACGUUCGCUCACUCAGCAACAAGACG